GAGCAUGUGAUAGAGAUCAGCAGGUGUCAGGAGCUCUUUUACCGGAGCCUGAAGGAUUGUUAUAAGGGGACGGCUGAGGACUGAAGAAACACUACAGUGUGGCCCUGGAUCUCUAGCUGGAGUUUGUAGCCUGAGAAACACGAUACAAAAAAGAGACAAGCUACGCUAAGAUGAAGAACAUGACAGGAGGCCCAAGCCCCAAGUUCAGACAAGCAGACCUGCAGUCCUCAGCAGGCAAGUGACUAGGUCUGUGGACAUCGUAGCAACGUCACGAGUCACGUGGAACCUGCCGAAUCAGCCCGCACCCCGACAGCAAUCCACUGGACACCCCGCCCCCGGCUCCUCUGUACAACCACCUGGUUCCACACUACAAAGACACAGAGGACACCGGACCACCAGACCACUGUACUGGAACAUCAAUGGACAUGAUGCAGCAGAGGAUUCUAAUGUUUUGAUCUUUGUUGAGCAUGCUCUGAGAACCCUAUGCCCCAGAAUCCAUACAAGUGUCUUAGACUUGAACCCAACUCACAAGGAGGAAUUGUGUCCAGCCAAGCUUCUGUCUGAAGUAGAACCUCCUGCUGGAGCCCAGCCUGGAUCAAGUAAACUACAGAGAACCUGCAGACCAUGGGCAUAGGACUGAAUGCUUGUUUUAAGUGACUGAAUGCUGGGGUGGUUUGCUAAAUGGUAUGAUUUUCACAACAGAUAACUAAUACACCACUCUGGGGUCCAGAACACGCUGUAUUUGCCUAAAUAAACCAUGUACCUUGUUCAUCAUUGCAUUUCCUGUUUCUACUGCACUGUCUGAUAUUUAGCAGGUGUUCAAAAAUAUGUGUUGAAGGGAUGAAAAAAUGGCUCCUGACCUGGGUAAUCUCACAGGCUAGUGUGUGAGACAGUUCUGGGAACAAAUAGUUACAUUGUAAAGUGAUAAAUGCAGCAAUAGAAGAGCUAUGAUAGCAUGGAGGUGGGAAGCCUUCAAAUGUUGUGUUAUCUACACCAAGGAAAAGUGUAAAGCACCAGUACUCAUGUUUGUACAUAAUAAGGACACUUAAGCUACCAUCAGAGGCUUCUUCGUAAGCUUAUUGGUACAAGAUUGGCUAUUUUGAAAGUCACUAAACAGACUUAAAAGUUCCUGCCAGUACUUAAUAAAUUCUGAUUUCAAAAAUUUUUCAGUGUAUAUAAUGAAUAAAAUGAGAUAUAUAGAAUCUGGAUUGUAUCCAAGAAAAAUGGCAAUGGGCUUAAGGAAUGAAAUUCCAGACAGUUGUAUACUAGCAUAUAUGUUUAAAUACCCUGAAAAGGCAAAUCAUUGCUUAAUGAAUAAAAAUGAGGAUUGGAAAAUCUGUGUAGUAAAUGAAGGUAGGGGGAAGUUCACAAUACAAGAUACAUCUACUUUUCAUUUUCUACUUUGCAUUAAAAAUAAAAGUCCUCCUCAAGUAACGAGUGACCAACUGGUCUGUUCUCUCUUUUUGAUCCAAACCUCUUUGCAGGAGGACUUCGAGGGCUGGCUGAUUCUUAAGUUGUUCAGGCUUAGAAAUGCAUUGUCACUCCUGUCUAGGUGUUGCAAAGCGAGAGAUAUGCAACAAGACUUGUUUAUGAGGUGAAAUAGCAAAAUAUUUCCAAGGGCUAAGCCUGUCUGUAUUCAUUUGGGAUGGUCGGUCGGCUUCUUAUUGGAACUGCUGAGCAGCCUUCCCUCUCAAUCUGUCACCUUCCUCUCUUUUUUCUAUCAUCCAAAAAGUGUAUUAAAAUUCCACUUCACUGGUAUCUCCUCUAGCACUCUGCUUAUCCUCAGGGAUCAAUACCUUUUUCCUGAUGUGUUAGCAAAGUUUGGGGCAGUGGAAGACUAAAUUGUGUUGUGGUCAUUAUGACUUUUAGGGAGGAAAGGAGAAUAGGAAAAAAACAAGAACCAAG
ensembl:lncRNA